rfam:Vitis vinifera, whole genome shotgun sequence of line PN40024, unoriented chromosome 2, chr2
GUGUUCGUAGAAAGGAGAAACGGUUGGCAUCUCCCCUGACAGGGACGGGAACAGCCUUCGGGCUUUCCUGUUUACACAUAUCCGGUUAAGGCACUCCACUUCGGUGGAUCUCUAACCCAUUUUUUUU